UAUGGCAGACUAGUGCAAUGGAUUUAAACUCCCUUUAUAAAGAAACAAUUCUUUUAUUAAAA
rnacentral:tRNA from 1 species